rnacentral:rRNA from 1 species
AUACGUAGGGUGCGAGCGUUGUCCGGAAUUACUGGGCGUAAAGAGCUCGUAGGUGGUUUGUCGCGUCGUCAGUGAAAUUCCGGGGCUUAACUCCGGGCGUGCAGGCGAUACGGGCAUAACUUGAGUACUGUAGGGGAGACUGGAAUUCCUGGUGUAGCGGUGAAAUGCGCAGAUAUCAGGAGGAACACCGGUGGCGAAGGCGGGUCUCUGGGCAGUAACUGACGCUGAGGAGCGAAAGCAUGGGUAGCGAACAGGAUUAGAUACCCUGGUAGUCCAUGCCGUAAACGGUGGGCGCUAGGUGUAGGGGUCUUCCACGACUUCUGUGCCGUAGCUAACGCAUUAAGCGCCCCGCCUGGGGAGUACGGCCGCAAGGCUAAAACUCAAAGGAAUUGACGGGG